rnacentral:tRNA from 1 species
GCGGGUGUGGUCCAAUGGUAGAACGUGGGCUUCCCAAGCCCGAGACGAGGGUUCGAUUCCCUUCACCCGCUCCA